CCUACGGGAGGCAGCAGUGAGGAAUAUUGGUCAAUGGACGAGAGUCUGAACCAGCCAAGUCGCGUGUAUGAUGAAGGCCCUAUGGGUUUUAAACUUCUUUUAUAAGGGAAUAAAACGAGGCGCGUGUGCCUUUUGGCGUUUACUUUAUGAAUAAGGAUCGGCUAAGUCCGUGCCAGCAGCCGCGGUGAUACGGAGGAUCCGAGCGUUAUCCGGAUUUAUUGGGUUUAAAGUGAGCGUAGAUGGGUUGUUAAGUCAGUUGUGAAAGUUUGCGGCUCAACCGUAAAAUUGCAAUUGAUACUGGCAGUCUUGAGUAUAGUUGAGGGAGGCAGAAUUCGAGGUGUAGCGGUGAAAUGCUUAGAGAUGACGAAGAAUCCCGAUUGCGAAGGCAGCUUCCUAAAAUGUGACUGACAUUGAUGCUCGAAAGUGUGGGUAUCAAACAGGAUUAGAUACCCUGGUAGUC
rnacentral:rRNA from 1 species